CUUAUCCCUGGUACAGAAGACAAGCCCCUGCCCCACGGCCCCAGCCUGAUCCCAGGCCGGUCGUGGAUCUUUCCUUCUUCUCUGGACCUUUCCUUGGGGGGUGGGGGUGGGGUCUCCCUGUCUCGCCUCUCUUCACUGCCAGUGGCACUGGCGGGACAUCCCCCCCCUUUCCAUGUCCACUUUCUCAGUAACCUGGGCUCUGAGGGCAGAAGGAGUGGGGUUCGACCUGCUUUGGGCCCUCCAGAGCUGCGAGGCGCCCCUGGCACAGUGAGCUUCUAGGACCCUGAGUAGCACGGGGACACCUCUCCGUCCUUCGGGGACCCACUUUGAAAGAGCUGAAAGAGGGAAAAGAUAGAUCCACUGGCAAAGUCUAGAGAGAGAUGGGCAAAGGAGGGGCCCCGGCUCAGACCCCAGAGGCCUAGAGCCCCAGAGUCUAGGCCACCAUGGAGGUGCCAUGGGCAAAGGUGAGCCAAGGGCCCAUUUCUUAAACGAAGGACAUUCACAGCGCCAAGUCCCGCAUUCAAGGGCUGUCUGGUAAGUCCUGUCCUGUCCAGCCAGGGUCACCCAGUCAGUGCUGUGACAGCAGCAGAGAGCUUGAGGCCUGUGGAGGAGGCUGGGGCAUCCAGCAGGAGGCUGAAGGAAAGGCCAUCUCUGCCACAGUGCUGCCACCAGGGGGCCACCCAGGGAGUGCCAGGGGGCACCUCAGGGACCCAGGUGGCCUCCCACCCAUCCCACACUCCUGGAUCCUGGAGGAGACCUUCCGGAGCCCCCGCUCCCCACCCCACCGCCUGGGCCCAGGGAACAUCCGCGGGGAAGGGGGGGGCGAGGCGACAAGGAGCAUAGACAGGUGGCGCCCCGCCUUCGCCCCCUCACCUCCGCCCCCCCCGCUGGGAUCCCGCGCGGUCAGAAACUGAGGAAACUGCGGGACUCCGGCUGGACUCUGGGCAGGAGGGCCUCGUCCACCCGGCUCCAGCCCAGGGACACCGAGCUGGGCGGUCCCCGUGGAAGCCGGAUCCUGGCGCUGGGCCCCGAGUCCGGGUGCAGAGACGGGGCCCCACCACGGCGCGAGCGGCAGCGGACUGGGGCUCUCGGACUCGUCCGCAGGGCCCCAAACAGACGCCAAGCCGGCCUCCGUGCGAGCGGGGCUGGCGACGACGGAGGGGUGGGGGUCCGAGAGUUCCCCCCCCCCCCGCCCCGCC